rnacentral:lncRNA from 1 species
CAGACUACCAAGCCCCAUUUGUAAAGAAAUGCUGGUAUAAUCAGUAUGAAAGUGAACCUUCCGACGACAUUGAACCUUCGAAAACAGAUGUAUUUUUGAAAAAUGGAUGUGCACGUGGAGAGGUGGAUCUAAUUAAAAGCGAGUUAGUACCAUUUGAAGAGAAUGGCGUUCUAGAGGUACACACAAACUUCUUCAAACUGAUGCCGCUGUAUGAUGACCAAUUUACAUUUUUGGACAUCCAUUGUGAAGUUGCUCUCUGUCAUUUACAUACAGACUGCUAUGUCACGUGUUCACAAAGGCAGAGUAAAUGGAGAAUGGAUAAGGAAGCGAGAAACGUUGAAUUGUCGACAGUUAUUGAGGUAGAAAAGAAGAAGUCGACACGUAAACCUCCAGCCAUUGAGGAAAAGAAGGAUCUUAGGGAUUUCCUUAUAAGUGGAG